UGCUGCUCCCUUCAUAGAGAUUUUAUGCUAGGUGUUUGUGUUAAUGUUUGAAAAGAGAAGAAUUUUUUCCCAUGAAUUCUGUUUUUUGUUAGCAUGGCUAGUGAAAUUGGAGAGCAAGUGGUACAAAUCUUAUUUUCCUGCAGGUUCAUUGUGUUGCGGCCAAGAAGUACAUUCUCUAAAUUAGUCUGAUGUAAUUGGUUCAUGAAAAGAAAACAAUAGUUCAAAUCUGCAUUAUACAAAACAAUUCAUACAAAAAAACAGUUAAGUAUUGUUGUAAAUUAGAAAACAGUAUUCAAUAUUUUUUUAUAAAAAAGUUCUCCACAUAAAAAAAUGCAACAGUAGUUCAACACAAUAUCAAGGAGAGUGUGAGUUGGGUAUGGUUACAAACAAAAUAUAUGUGUGAAAAGUUCGCUUCAUCUGCAUACGUAAGUUUAAAAAAUUGUCGUAGAGCUAGUUCAAAAGAUUUUCAAAAAGUAGAAUGGUUGUGCUAGUUCAAUUUUUUCAGUCCAUCUUCUGUAUGCUAUUUAGUACAUCUAAUUCCAAAUCGUAAGUACAAUUGCCUUUAUGUUUUCCAUCUUCAUAUAACACAAAACAGGCAGUGGAGGAUAAGGUGAGAAUAUAUACUAAUCAAAUGUUUGGUGGCGUUGUCCAUGUUUUGAAUUUAAACCACUAGCUUUUUUAUACACGAGGGCUUGUCCUGGGGGAGCCCUAUAUAGCCAUGAGCACUACUGCUACAAACUUUAAUCCCCCAUUGUCCGGCCUACAGAGCAUUAGGAAAAGUUCAAAUAUUUGUAAUUCAUUCAGUUCUUCUGGUUAGUAGACUAGUGGUUCAUCUUGCUAAAUCUUGUGGCUUAAAGUUCCUCCAUGUUUUGUUACAGCAGUUCAAUGUGUAUUUUUAGAAGAAAAUCAACAACGGCGGCUGCACUGGAGUAGCAGGACUACUAUUGUUGAUAGGUUUGUGAACUAAUAAACAUUCUUUUUUAUGUUCUUGUGAUGUUUCAGGUGUGUUUUGGGGCAAUACAAAUACAUCGCUAUAAUUAGUACAUAUGUGGCACCUUGCAAAGUACUAAAAAGACCAACUAAUUAGGAUUACUAUAAUGAACUAACAAUAAAAUUUGAGUCCUUCAGGAUCCUCUAGUUCUGGAUGUCCACCGCCAUCCCCGUCAACCCCUAUUUCUUCACUGUAAGGAGGCUCUCUGCUCAUCGCUCGGUUGUCCUCUAUUUGUUCUAAUUUCUGAAGAAAUUGCAAAUCAAGUUUAGUUUGAUGAUGGCUGUUGAGGAUUACAUCUGUGUGCUUUGAUUGAUUUAGUUUCCGAAUCUUGACUUGCUAAAAUGAACCUACUCUGUUUUCAAUCAAUCGAUGGAGUGCGGGAAAUCCAAAUUUGUCUUAUUGUUUACUCCAUCAAUUCAUAUAAGUUCAACUAUUUUGUUGCUAAUAAGUUCAGCUAUUUUAUCAAAAUAGGGGGCUAUAAGAUGUUGACUGUCAUUGCCCUUCCAUUGAUAUCGUUGGAGUCGAACCAUUCGCUGUGAGUUUCAGCCCAUAGGUUGCUCGUGAUCCUUGCUCCUUAAGCUCCACUUUGUCGGCGCCGUCAGUCCACAGAAGUAGGGGCGGCGUGCCCGUCAACAAACAAGAACAGAAGGUAUGUGCUUGGAAAACUUGAAAUUAUAUACACAUUUAGGCAGCAGAAAGUUGUAGCUUCUUUCAAAGUUCAAAAUGAAAAGAUAUUCAGUUCAACUUGUUCUAGGAAAACAUGUGUGAGACCUUGGCAGCAUGUCUAUACACUAUCUAGUGUAGAAAGAAAUGUCUGGCAUAGUCCAACGCGCCGCUGCCGCCUACCCCCUGCCUCUGAGCGCCGCUGGUCUAUAAGUUCAACAUGUAUAACCCUAUAAGUUCAUACAAAACAGAAAACAAGAUAAACAAAAAUAAUGAAACACAAAAACCCCAUGGAAUUCACAGGGAAAAUAUAACAAGUUCUAGGAAAUAACUGUAGAAGUUCAUAUUUCAAAACAAAUGAAGUAUUUGGGAAGUAAAAAUGAAGUAUUUCAAAGUACAGAAAUCUUUUUAGGUUUGUUUGGUAACUUCUAAUGUUACUGAACAUGAACUUGCUUGGUUCUUUUUACAUGAAUUUGCACAUUGAACCCAUCCGACAAACCGUUUGAUCUGCCACUUUUAAGCCGUAUUUGAUCUACCAUAUUUCUCUAGUUCUUCUUGUACAUCCGCCGCGAGCCCAGCGCCCCCAUGCGAUCCAUCAACCACGGUUGAGAACCUCCGCCUUGCUUCCAUCGCUGGCUGUCGUCCCUCCACCCCUCCUCCUCCCACAACCCUGAUCUGGUUUCAGCGGCUGCCACGAUGCAAUGUUGCUGCUCCCUCCAUACAACAUGGACACAAACUAGCUGAUGGAUGAAAGAAUGAUUAUAGAUAAUUAUUGCUAUUAUCUGUAGUUUCUGUGAACUGAUAUUUGAGACUCUCUCUCGAGGCUCUGUAGCUUGUGUGGACGGAUAGUGCAGGCUCGAUGAACUCUGUCCAUCUCGACUCUUGAACUGAGAGUAGAUAGUAGAGAAGAAUGUAGUGUUGCCUGUCAACUAGUGGUUUGGCCAGUUUCGAAUUUUGGCCUGGUUGAACUUUUGAUAGAGCAUCAGUUUGUUGUCAGUUCUAGUGCACUCAAGCAUAAGGAGGGUUUGACCUGUUAUCAAUGGAUCACUAUAACUUUCUUCCACCAAGGUGCUUUCACUCGGUGAUGCAAGGCUUGUAAUCUUCUCCCUCGUGAGCUCUCUCUCUCCCUAUAUAUAUAUAAGUUUAGUUCACUUCAACUAGUUGAUAUUGGAUUAUAUUGGUUGAUUGCAAAAUACUUUGCUCUUUACCCAUCGCCGUGGCCCUGCUCCCUAACCAACACCGCCGGCCAACAACAUGGCCCUGCACCCUGACCAUCGCCACGGCCCAUCAUUCUCGCGCUGCCGCAUCAUGCACUCACCACGCCGUGUGUGGCAUCCUCCCGACGAAGCGCCCCCGCUGUGUCGCGGGCUAAUUUUCCGGCGUCACCCUCCGCCUCCUCAGCGCACAGGCCGUUCACCUCCGCCACCCCAGGCCGUACACCACUGCGAAGAGAGCCUGUUCAACUACGUGAUAGAGAAUUUUUGUACCAGACAUAGUAUUAGUUCGAUGUGUAAUCUAUCAUCAGUCCAUGAAAAAUUACAGAAUAGUUGGUGUGUGUGCAGAAAUAUCGUCAGUGCAAGUUUCAAAACUCUGUAAGUUUAGAUAUAUCACCUAAAUAAGUAAUGAUUUGCAGCAAGUUUCUUCAAAAUUUUGUAAAGUUUAGAUAUAUCACCUAAAGUAUCGUCAGUGCAAGUUUGAAAAUUCUGUAAGUUCAGAUAUAUCGGAAAGAAAAAUUGAUGAGUCACCAUCUCCUUUAUAUUCAUGUUCUCUGCAGCACAGGUAGCAGUGGGACUGACUGGGAGUGAUCCCUAUAUAACUCAGGAAGCACGUCAGUAUAGAAGGCAAAAAUCUGUAACCUAUAUAACUCCUGUUUGUUCUGACUUCUUGUUUCUCUACAGCGGCCAAAUCCCGGCACACCUGAUAGUUGAAACUUACACAUGGCCUGCGACCAACUGCACCGCCUCUAUAAGCUCCUCGGGAAUGACUUGGUAGUAGCUGGGAUCCCCUUACAGCGGCAAAAUCCCGGCGCACCCAGCCGCCGCUCGUGAUCCCUGCUCCUUCAGCUCGACUUCGCCGGUGCCGUCAGUCCACAGGAGUAGGAGCGUCAUGCCCGGCAACAAACAAGAACAUAAGGAACUACACGCUAUAUACAGAAUUUCUACAGAAACUGCUGCAGAUACAUGACUUAUGAGGCUACCAGAGGCUACUACACCUCCAGAUUAAUGACAGCCUGCAACUUACUUGCUUCCAACACACUAGUAACACAUUCUAAGGUUCGUAAUCGGCUACUUCAAAGCGCUAUUGCUAUUCUGUGGGUAAAGGUCCUCAUUUUGUUGAUGGUGGCAUCUUACAAAGAAAAGGUAACCUGCUUUUACUUAUUAUUCUUGUACUUUGCCCUUCAAAUAUAGAAGUAGAAUCAAUGUCAAUAAGCAUUUUCACAACUUCUCUUAUUGUCGGUCGCUCAGAAGGUGCUCGAAUAAUUCAAGCAAUGGCAAAUGUUAAGGACCUUUAUUAUAACUUUUGAUCCAUAGUUGCUAACUUUUAGAUCACAAACCGCUCUAGUAUUCCGGUCUGAACAUUGGGACCAAACCCAUUUUGAUCAUGACAUGAUAAAAAAUGGAAUGGUGGGAAGUAGCAGGUCCAGUUUCUAGUAAAUGGGAUCGUGGGCAGAUGCAUAAUAGUCCUAUCCUAUAAUCUGCAGUUUUCAGGAUAAACGGGAUCAAACGGCUUCUUCCCCAGACCAUGCUCGGCUUUCUGCCUAGGCAAACCCCUUUUAUUCCUCCCAGGCACAACCACAACAUCCUUCUCAGUCCAAAUUGACCGCUGACUGCGGUCCAAGUUCGGCAAAUAAUUUUUUAUUUCGGUCCAACCUGGCCGUCCCAAGCAAUUCACCGUCGCAGCUACUAGGCCGAUUGCGUCGAGCCUCCUGCCACCGCCGGUGGGGCUCCAUCGCCGUACUGCCCAUACCGUUCACCGCCACCACACCGGAUCGUUCAACGACACAACCCGAAGCAGUUCAACGCCGCGGCUCGGGAGGCACACACUUCGCCUCUCCAUCCCAGGAGAGCAGUACAUCUCCUUGUGCACGAGCAGUCCUUUGCCGAUGUACACUGCUGCUCUAAGCUCUUUGGCCACUUCUCCAAUAUGUCCAGCACCGUCCCUAAUCCAGCCCCGUGGCAUCCCGACGGUCGAGUUCAUGUCGAGAAGCAGUCCACGACCGUGAGCUCCUAUUUCCACUAUAGUGGUUGGGUUGCCGUUUUCCUCAUCCUUCCCGGUGCGCGACAACCCAGCCCACAUGCUGCUGCCGUUCGCCACCCCAAAAUAGCUUCGUCUAUGUAAAUGCUACUAAAUCAGUGGUUUGAUUCAGCAGCCUCCUUCAGUUCAAACACAUGAACUAAAGUAAUCAGAGAAGAACAAUAUACUAAAGAACAAUGUACUGAGUUUUUUGUUGACCAGCGAAGAAAAAUAUACUGAAAUUACAGGGGAUAACACAAUGCAGUGCUAGUCACUAUCAUUAGUACUUAAUGUGAGUCAAAAAAGAAGUGUUGGACAAUGGUUCGUUGUUAAUUAGUGACCAGAACUUGUGUACUUUGGAUUAUACUAGUGCAAAUGUAGCCUCAAAUUCCUAGUACGUGUGAACAUGCACACAUCUGACAGAAAAUGGGUUCAUGAGAAAAUGAGGUUCUUAUGAUCAUGUUUAUUGUUAACUUAUUCAGAAGAAAUGCUAUUAAGUUAUAUCAUUAGUGAAAACACAGUUAAAUUAUUAAAAAAUAAUUGUAUCAGUUCUGACUCGAGAGGGUGUAAGUGCAGAAGAAAAUAUUGGUGGCUGUAAAGGGUCAUUGAUUGAAAAUGUUAUAAGUUCACCACGACGUCUCAGAUAAGUUCGUGAAAAAGAUCAAACAAAAAAGAAACCCCAAAUGGGAAUUCGAAUGGUAAAAGUUUAAGUCAAAAAUUUCCACUUGGCCUAGAUAGCUCAUAUAUACUUCAAUCUUGUAAUUUAAAAGGUCAAGUCACAAGUUCGGAGAUGAUUGUUUGCAACUAGUUUGCUUUGAUGAUUCUGUAAUUGCAUCAGGCCAUUACAGAAAAUGGCUCUAGUAGUUCAUUAUUUAUUUCAAUUCAUGAAAUUGAUACAGUGCGCCGCCCCGCCCGCAAUGUCGUUGUUGCUUGCUAGCUGCCGGUGGUUCGUGUGCCCUGGUCGCUGGUGCUAUAGGGUAAGGUGAGUGAGAAAGAGAUUACUGAGAGGGAUUUGCUGCUGCUGUUGUUCCUUGUAUUGAUAGAGGAUUGUCGAAUCUAAAGCUAGCUGCACCUUCGCAUCCUAUGCACUGUCACAUAUGAGUUGGUGCUCCUACAGUAGUGUUCUAAUUGGCAAAAGAACAAUGAGAAGGGAAAGAAGAUGGUGGUUAAAUAUUAAGUAAAAAAGAACUGAUAGAAUGAGGAUAACAUAAAACAGUGUGUGACUGAAAGAAACUAAAUAGUUUGGUGUGAAACGUUGUGCUUUUCUCUGGUGCUGUAGUUCAAUUUACUACAACCGUUCUGCUUGUAAUAGCAUCUUCUGCAGGAAGUUCGAGAUGGGAGCACUUGUUUCAAAUGCUCUCCUCCCAUUCGCGAUGCUGCCAACAAGGAAAACCUCUGGGAAGCUCUGCUGGUAAUGCAAUCUCCUAUCCAUCCCAGCUCCAACUUACUGCUGCUAAUCAAUUGUCUGCAUGUAAUUGAAAAGUAGGUGUUUGUUGCAUAAGUUCUGAACUUGUAGGUGUUUGUUGCACAAGUUCGAGUUGUCGCUACUCGGAGAAGCUACUACUAUUGCUAGCUUUGGGGUUCACAUGCUACAGCACAUGGAUCCAUGGACAAUGAAUUAAUAUGAGAGAGAUAAUUUGGUUGUGUCAUGCUCUUUAGUGUUUGUUUCUAUUCCUGUUAGAACCAAAUAGUGUUUGAAUUUUUUUUAUUUUGUGCUCUCACAUAUUUGUUUGGGAAGUACAAACACAUCAGCACAGUGAGUAAGGAUGUGGCACCUUGGGGAAUAAUGCCUACAAAGCAAGCCCAGGAUGACGACGCUGAUCACUAGCAUGAAGGAUACCAAGCAGGCUAAGGAUGAAGUACACGAUGAAGGCAAUGAGGACAAUGAAAACAUGCAAUCCAUAAACAUAGCAGCAGCUGCAAGUUCUUCUGUGUAUGAUAAUAUGAUUGCUACUUUUUAAAAGAAAGUGUAUAUGAUAGUUUGAUGUUUCUACAAGAAAGGAAAAAAUGGUUUGAAUUAAAAACAUUGAUCAGUAUGAAUAGAAAACAAUUAUCAGUUCGA